rnacentral:rRNA from 1 species
GAUGAACGCUGGCGGCGUGCCUAAUACAUGCAAGUCGAACGAACAGAUGAGGAGCUUGCUCCUCUGACGUUAGCGGCGGACGGGUGAGUAACACGUGGAUAACCUACCUAUUAGACGGGGAUAACUACGGGAAACCGGAGCUAAUACCGCAUAAUAUAUUGUACCGCAUGGUUCAAUAGUGAAAGGCGCUUUUGCUGUCACAUAUAGAUGAAUUCGGGUCGCAUUAGCUAGUUGGUAAGGUAACGGCUUACCAAGGCAACGAUGCGUAGCCGACCUGAGAGGGUGAUCGGCCACACUGGAACUGAGACACGGUCCAGACUCCUACGGAAGGCAGCAGUAGGGAAUCUUCCGCAAUGGGCGAAAGCCUGACGGAGCAACGCCGCGUGAGUGAUGAAGGUCUUCGGAUCGUAAAACUCUGUUAUUAGGGAAGAACAAAUGUGGAAUUAACUAUGCACGUCUUGACGGUACCUAAUCAGAAAGCCACGGCUAACUACGUG